GAUGAACGCUGGCGGAGUGCCUAACACAUGCAAGUCGAGCGGCAGCGCGAGUAGUUUACUACUUGGCGGCGAGCGGCGGACGGCUGAGUAACGCGUGGGAACAUGCCCCAAAGUGAGGAAUAACUGCCCGAAAGGGUAGCUAAUGCCGCAUACGAUCUUCGGAUUAAAGGAUUUAUCCGCUUUGGGAGUGGCCUGCGUACGAUUAGAUAGUUGGUGAGGUAAUGGCUCACCAAGUCUACGAUCGUUAACUGGUUUGAGAGGAUGAUCAGUCAGACUGGAACUGAGACACGGUCCAGACUCCUACGGGAGGCAGCAGUGAGGAAUCUUCCACAAUGGACGAAAGUCUGAUGGAGCAACUCCGCGUGCAGGAUGAAGGCCUUCGGUCGUAACU
rnacentral:rRNA from 1 species